rnacentral:rRNA from 1 species
CGAUGAAAGACGUGAUAGCCUGCGAAAAGCUUCGGGGGAGGUGGCAAUGUACCUUUGAUCCGGAGAUAUCUGAAUGGGGAAACCCACCCGCUGUAAGGCGGGUAUCAUACACUGAAUACAUAGGUGUAUGAGGCGAACGAGGGGAAGUGAAACAUCUCAGUACCCUCAGGAAAAGAAAUCAAUUGAGAUUCCCUAAGUAGCGGCGAGCGAACGGGGACCAGCCCUUAAGUCAAUUAUGUUCUAGUGGAACGCUCUGGAAAGUGCGGCCGUAGUAGGUGAUAGCCCCGUACACGAAAGGGCAUAAUUGAUGAAAACGAGUAGGACGGGACACGUGAAAUCCUGUUUGAAUAUGGGGGGACCAUCCUCCAAGGCUAAAUACUCCUGACUGACCGAUAGUGAACAAGUACCGUGAGGGAAAGG